rnacentral:lncRNA from 1 species
UCUAAGGCUCUAAGCGCCACCUAUUUCCGGUAGUCAAAAUGUGCCAUGGCGGCUUCCUGUCAAUUGGAUGUGUGCGUAGCACGGGAGCUUCAAUGUUACAUCUCAGCUUUUUUGGUUAUCCCCAGCUGUUCCUUAUAUUUCCGCGUAAUAACUCUUUCUUGUACCAAAUACAAUACCGAAUAGGGAUCGUAUAGAAGCUCAGAGGCUGCACCUGUCAUUCACAUAGACAGUUUAGCCAUUGUCAAAGCAGCAAUUUCGACUGGCACAGCAACGCUCAUCUGAAUGGCAUCUGUCAAUGUCAUAGCUGGAAUGUACAGACUAAAAAAGCUCGGAAGCGCUUGCACUCUUUGGAGAAUUUUGUAUGAGCAUUUUCAGGCUGUUCUGGUGACACUAAAAAAUACUGGCUCUCCUGUAA